AGUUUGAUGGUGUUUUUUUUCUGAUUGUAGAUUUGAAAAUUCAGUAUCAUACACAAACACACACACGCAUAUAUUUCUUUCCCUCUUCUGUUUUCUAUCUGAAACACAAACUUCUCUCAUUUGCAAAGAAAAAACCCCUCAGAAUAUCAGGCACAUUUGCUCACACAACGUUGGAUUUAUGUGCAAAAUUUGGGGCAUAUGAGGGAACAGCACCCUUCUUGUGUAUGUGAGAGAACACAGGUGUAAACAGCUGUACAGGUGACAAACCAGAUGAAAACACGCUAACCGGCUUGUGAAUUUAGCUGGCGGCACGUCGCCAUCCAUCCAUCCAUCCAUCCAUCCAUCCAUCCAUCCAUCCAUCCAUCCACCGUAUGUAUCGGCUACACCGUACUCGUAGUGAUAUGCAGAAGACUAAACACAUCGAUGCAUGUCUGCGGGGAGAUCGAGAGGAUUUUUUAAAAAGAAUGUUUGAUCCAAACUUUCUGUGAUUGAUGCACUUGUUUUAUUCAACCACCAACCCCCCUUUUUUUCUUCCUUUUUUUUUUUUAAAGAUAUUAAUCGAUAGAAGGACGAUUGCAAAAGCUGACAUUAUAAACAUACAAAUGAAAUUCUAUGUAUUUGUUCCAGUAGUCGGAGGCGCUCGCCUCCCAAUACAGUUCUACAUAGAAAGCUUUAUGUGUAUAUGGCUGCAUCUUCUCUUGUCUGUCCUGGAUGAUUCUUGUGCUAUUGUGUUACAAAAACUGAUGUGACACCGGGGGGGGGGGGCGUAAAACUGCAGUACUUUGACCUUUUUUGCCCCUUUGACCUCCUUUUUUCCUCUUUCCCUCACCCCCCACCCCCUUUAAUCCCGACUUUUUGCCCCCAUAGCGUGAAGCAUUGUAAGCGUUUUGAGCUUUGUAAAGGUCUUUUUUUUAAAUACUUAUUUUGUGUAUAAUGUAAAACCUAAAAAGUGUGUACUUUGGCAAAAAAAAGAAAAAAAAUGUUUUGUGUCUGAAAUCAUAGCUUCAUUUAAACAAACAAAAAAAGAACCUAUAAAAAAGUACAACAAACAUUUACUAUAAAUAAUAUGAAAUGUUCUGCAGUAAGGAAGGACUUCUGGUGCCUUACAAAUAAAGUCAAUCAAAUCAUGACAAACUUCACUGCUCAUUUUUGACUUUUUCUUUCCAGUUUUCACAAAGAAACACACCUGAACUGUUGCUUUAAGUCGCUGCUUUAUUUUGAAGGAUUUUAUUGGUGUGUUUUAUUGUCUAAGCAGGAGGCUCAGAUUAAAGGCA
ensembl:lncRNA